rnacentral:rRNA from 1 species
CACCGCGGUUAUACGAGAGACCCUAAUUAAUAGCUACGGCGUAAAGAGUGGUUUAGGGUAAAAAUUAAUAAAGCCGAAGAUUCUCCCGGCCGUUGAACGCACUCUGAGAGUAUGAAGCCCCAUUACGAAAGUAGCUUUACCAAUAAUUUCCUGACCCCACGAAAGCUAAGAAA